CAUCGUGAGAUGGAAUCUGAAGGAAGGUAGCGGCAAAUCUCUGCUCUGACGAACAGAAAUUACAUCUGGCUAUAGUUAAGGAUAAGGUUGCUAAACAAACUGAAGUCCAAUAACUACUCGGAAUUAACUAUGGUAAAUGUGGCAGAUGGAUGGAGAGAAAGAAAU
rnacentral:ncRNA from 1 species